UGAACCUGGUGAAAUUCACAUAGUACUUUAACAACUGUUACACAAACAGGGGGUUGGGAUAUGAUUAGAACUAGACAGGUCUGUAGGCAGAACGGUCAGAGGCUUAUAAUGUUGUGGGGGAGCGUCAGAGAUGGCUUUGGGAGUCUUCCAGACUGGCUGGAGGAGGCUGCUCUCUCUUAUCCUGCAAGCUACCCUCAGCCCUACAGGGUGCUGUAUGAGAUGUGGUGCCGGGACCAGAGCCGCUGCAUCACCCCCAGAUAUGUGUACCAUAGCCAAGGCAUCUUCCCUGAGCCAGCCUCCCAGGGCAGAGUGGAGUACCAGGAACUGCUCCCUGAGGAUCUCUGAUCUGAGGAGGUCUGAUAGUGGGACAUAUGUCUUCUAUUUUAUCACCAACCACCCAGUGGAGAAGCCUCCUGGACAGCCUGGAGUAACCCUGCUAGUGGCAGGUCGUUGCUGUAAAUGAGAAUGUGUUCUCAGUCAACUUGUCUGGUAAAAUAACGGUAAAAUUUAAGUUAAAAAACACAUUGGCCACAGACGAAAUUACUUUAAAUCACAUUAUAUCUACCGUAGCUUUGAUUGGACUGAUCAUGUCAACAUUAUACUUUCAAAAUCUUAGCUAGCAAGCUAGAUAAGCAGUCAUCAUCAUGAUUCAAGUCGAC
ensembl:lncRNA